rnacentral:rRNA from 1 species
AACGAUGAUGCCCAGCUUGCUGGGCGGAUUAGUGGCGAACGGGUGAGUAAUACGUGAGUAACCUGCCCUUGACUCUGGGAUAAGCCUGGGAAACUGGGUCUAAUACUGGAUACUACCUCUUACCGCAUGGUGGGUGGUGGAAAGGGUUUUACUGGUUUUGGAUGGGCUCACGGCCUAUCAGCUUGUUGGUGGGGUAAUGGCUCACCAAGGCGACGACGGGUAGCCGGCCUGAGAGGGUGACCGGCCACACUGGGACUGAGACACGGCCCAGACUCCUACGGGAGGCAGCAGUGGGGAAUAUUGCACAAUGGGCGGAAGCCUGAUGCAGCGACGCCGCGUGAGGGAUGACGGCCUUCGGGUUGUAAACCUCUUUCAGUAGGGAAGAAGCGAGAGUGACGGUACCUGC